AUGUAUAACAGCGCAGUAUGUUUCCUGCAGAGGCAGAUUGUGAAGAAGUACUUUGAGAAGGAAGAGGAACGGCUGGAGUAUUUCGAGAAACGUCAGAUCCAACACGAGAAGGAAAAGAAAGAGAUAGGAAGACCGAACAACGAGAGGAAGAAGACGGUAGAGAGAGGAAAGACGUACGUUAAAGGUUUCCUGCAGAGGCAGAUUGUGAAGAAGUACUUUGAGAAGGAAGAGGAACGGCUGGAGUAUUUCGAGAAACGUCAGAUCCAACACGAGAAGGAAAAGAAAGAGAUGGAAGCCGAACAACAGAGGAAGAAGACGGAGCCGGUGAUGCCACUCAAACAGGAAGAGGAACUGGAGGCAGAAGCGCUGAAGGAGUACGAACAGUUUCUGGCUCUGGAGAAGAUCAUUUUGAAGAACAUGGGCCUCCUGACCGAAACAGAGGACAGAUCAGACCUGUAACACAUUAGAAACAUCAUCAGUACACUCUAGAACAACCAAGAAUCUAGAAGUUACCAGAUGAUCUAAUAACAAGAGUUCUGCUCAUUGUGCCAUUAACACUGGAACUUUAAUUCAGUGUCUAGCUCAAAGCACUCUGAUUAGAAUGAUCUAAAAACAUUGUUAUUCAUCUUAACUUUUCAAUGGAAUUGAAAUGGAAUUUCUUACAGUGUUUGGAACAACAUUCCUAAUCUAAUAUUAAUUUGAAUCAGAUUUAAACUUCAUUUGAUUCCUUUGGUUUUUGAACGCUGUAGCUACAGCAGCUUUAUUGUAGUGUAUUGUAAGCUUUCUGAAUGUAAAACAUUAAAACCCCAUUUUUUAAAGCAGGGCAGAUAGGGUGUUUUGUUCUUGUAAGCUUAUGCGCUCUGACCUUGAAGAUUGAUUCUUCCUCCGGUUACUGGUCUCAGUUCAUCUUCGUAAUCAAAGACGCUCUUAAUUCAGCGGCUUCACCUCCGACAGCUAAUCUAUAACAGCUUAUCUGCUUUCAUACGGACACGUUCAGCCUCUAAUGUACAAUAUUGAUCAAGCUCAGCCUGGCUCAUAUUGAUUCAGUAGAUACUAAACUUCCUUUUUAAGCAGCGUACGUGACAAGAAUUCACACGCAAAGCAGGUUUGGUCGACAUAUAGAAGACUUUCAAGUCUACUUUAUAAAAUGCAUUUCUAUGCGUAACAACAGAAUUGCAAGACACAUGCCCAAAAUUGUGAGAUGAAAGUCACAAGCACUUUUUUAAAAUUCUUUGGUUAGAAAUAAAUUCACAAUCCUGACAUCUCACAAUUUUGCAUGUUUAUCUCACAAUUCUAAACUUUUUCUUGCAAUUCUAAGUUUCUAUCUUUUUUUUUUUUUUUUUUUUUUUUUACUAAUUUUAAGAUAUGAAUUCAGAACUGCAACAAAAAUAUCUAAAUCCUUAACUAGAUAUCUUUAAUAAAUAACUUUAUUCUGCAGCAGAAAAAAGCUUCAAUAGUAAAUGUCUAAAAACGUAGUACAGUUCACAACUUUACUGUUGCAUUAUAUUGCAUGAAAAUCCCAGUUUAUGUAAUUUAUAGUUCAUUCUUGAUACUGAUUCUUUUUUUUUUUUUUUUUUUUUACCUAAUUUUUAACGAUAUGAAUUCAGAACUGCAACAAAAAUAUCUAAAUCCUUAACUAGAUAUCUUUAAUAAAUAACUAUUCUGCAGCAGAAAAAAGCUUCAAUAGUAAAUGUCUAAAAGCGUAGUACAGUUCACAACUUUACUGCUGCAUUAUAUUGCAUGAAAAUCCCAGUUUAUGUCAUUUAUAGUUCAUUCUUGACACUGAAAAUUAAGGUGAAAAUGAGUGCAUUGGUUUAUGGGACAUUGUGUUUUUUUUUUCAUAUUCUGCACAUAUUGGCAGUUGUCUUCAUAUAUUUAUUUUGAUUUAGUGUGCAAUAACCCUAAAUCACAGACUCAAGUUAAUCUUGCAUUUUUGUGUGUCUGUUGCAUGAGCCGCACGUCUUCAUGAACCAAACAUCACAUCUUCUGUUCAGUCUCUGUAACUCUCAU
rnacentral:lncRNA from 1 species